rnacentral:rRNA from 1 species
UACGUAGGGUGCGAGCGUUAAUCGGAAUACUGGGCGUAAAGCGUGCGCAGGCGGUUCGUGAUGUCUGAUGUGAAAGCCCCCGGGCUCAACCUGGGAAUUGCAUUGGAAACUAGCGGGCUGGAGUGUGGCAGAGGGGGUGGGAAUUCCACGUGUAGCAGUGAAAUGCGUAGAGAUGUGGAGGAACACCGAUGGCGAAGGCAGCCCUGGCUAACACUGACGCUCAUGCACGAAGCGUGGAGCAACAGG